rnacentral:rRNA from 1 species
UGUGGCCUCAAAUCAGGUAGGACUACCC